rnacentral:lncRNA from 1 species
AAAAUUUUGGAUGUUCAGCUCAUUUUCAGUGAGAACACAAUUAAGAGAAACUUCCUAAUCCUUCAAAAUGAAAAUGAAGAUAAAUCAUUUCCCAUCAACGCUGUGCUAUAUAUUGGCUAUUGCAUUCCCAAGGAAUCUGGUGUUCUGAGUUUGUUCUGACCUUGUCUUCUCUUCAGCCGAGCAUUAUCUCCACAGAAAUAUUUGGAGGGAGGAGUCUUUUCUAACAUUAGUUGCUCAGAAGGUUUUAUGGUACCGUACGCUACCAUGCCAUGCACCAAAAUAAAGGUGUAACUACCAACAAGCACUCACGAGCAUGUGGCAUUCAGGAUUCAGAAAUGGAAAGAAGGAAACCCAGCGACGACUUCUGUUGUGAACUGCCUGUGGGAGGCAAGACUGGUGGCUGAAUGCAGACAUAAAACUGUUCUCAGGUGGGAAUUCUCAUUCCUUUUAGAGUGUUUGAAUCUUUCAAUUAGAACAUUUCACA